AAAUCUCCAUUACAUAGUGGACAUAAGGCUGGCAUAGGGUGAAUCAACACCAAAACUAGGUGGGGUCUGCUACAUAAUUACUCAAGACAGAAAUUGAAGUGUAAAGUAAAGUAUUAGACCACCGCAACACGGUUCCUUUCCCUUUUCAGCAGAAGCAACAAACAGCACUAAUGGCCACAAGCCAAGUCGCAGCAAAUCUGGAAAGCAGGCCACCGAUAUUAUUAGACUUGGCAGGAUUGUUCUUCAGCUCAGAACUAGAACCACCUCUGAAGCUACUAAACUUUCCAUACCCAACAGCAUAACAUGGAGUCUCUAAC